UUUCCCUCAGGAUAGCUCGACUUCGUUGCAGUUAUAUCUGGUAAAGCGCACGAUUGGAGGAAUCGAGCUCGAAACGACCUUAACCUAUUGCCAAAUUUUCAAUGGGUAUGUUGUCUAGGUUUCUUUAUGUUUACGAGAGGUUGUAAGAUCUGUGCGG
rnacentral:ncRNA from 1 species